UCAGAUGAACCCAUUUCUCUCCGGCAACAAAAAUAAGAAGCAAAGAAUCAACGGGUAGAUGAGAUGAGUUAGAAAUGAAAUGAAAUGAAAUGUGGGCUGGUUUUUAUAUAAUAAUUAUAUUAUAUUAUUGAUAAGUUUAGAGAGAGAAAGAGAGGGAAGAGAGAGAGAGAGAAUAAAAAGCACGAGGAAUAUAUGAGGAAUAGAAAACUAGGGCUACUUUUGUUUCAUUAAGUAGAAGAUUUUUCUUUGAGAUUGGUUUCUCCAUUUGAAACACGUGCUGUUUGUAAUUAUUCGAAAAUAUUAUUAUUAAUAUAUUUAAUAUUAC
rnacentral:lncRNA from 1 species